rnacentral:rRNA from 1 species
GGUUAGUAGAUUGGUCAUGCCUCUGGUAUGCACUGGUCUCACUGAUUCCUCCUUCCUGAUGAGCCGUAAUGCCAUUAAUUUGGUGUUGCGGGGAAUUUGGACUGUUACUUUGAAAAAAUUAGAGUGUUUAAAGCAAGCUAACGCUUGAAUACAUUAGCAUGGAAUAAUGAAAUAGGACGUUCGAUCCUAUUUUGUUGGUUUCUAGGAUUGACGUAAUGAUCAAUAGGGAUAGUUGGGGGCAUUAGUAUUCAAUUGUCAGAGGUGAAAUUCUUGGAUUUAUUGAAGACUAACUACUGCGAAAGCAUUUGCCAAGGAUGUUUUCAUUAAUCAAGAACGAAAGUUAGGGGAUCGAAGACGAUCAGAUACCGUCGUAGUCUUAACCAUAAACUAUGCC